rnacentral:rRNA from 1 species
UGUUCUUUAAAUAGGGACUUGUAUCAACGGCACCACGAGGGCUACACUGUCUCCCCCCUCCAAUCAGUGAAACUGAUCUCCCCGUGAAGAAGCGGGGAUUUAUCUAUAAGACGAGAAGACCCCAUGGAGCUUUAAACCCAACGUACACCCCUGACCCACACACCAACCUAGCCCCCAAAGAUCUGUACGUCAGUUUUAGGCUGGGGGGGCCACGGAGUAAAAUUAAACCUCCACAACAAAUGGGCUAAUACCCUUAUCCACGAUUUACUAAUCUAAGAACCACAAAAUUGAUGUUUAAUGACCCGUUAACUCGAUCAAUGAACCAAGUUACCCUGGGGAUAACAGCGCAAUCUACUUCAAGAGCCCAUAUCGACAAGUGGGUUUACGACCUCGAUGUUGGAUCAGGGUAUCCUAGUGGUGCAACCGCUA